rfam:Myotis brandtii contig285281, whole genome shotgun sequence.
GGCGGUUCUCAGGUGACACACCCCUGAAUUGGGUUCCCUCCUCUCUGGUUCCAGGUGUGUCACUUGAGAACUGCA